AAACUAAAGAUCCGACAAGGGUGCAGCCACAUUUAAAAAAAUGUUUUGAAGGAAUUGCUAAAUUAAAAUUUACCGAGAGUCUUGAUAUAGUUUGUAUGAGGUCUAGUGAAGAUGAAGUUGUAGAUUUAUCAAUGGCUGUAGAUACAAUGAAAGCUAGAGGUCAAGUAGAAAAAUGGCUUG